CAGCAGUAGCCACGGGAAUACAGAGGGUGCGAGCGUUAAUCGGAUUUACUGGGCGUAAAGCGUGCGUAGGCGGCUUUUUAAGUCGGAUGUGAAAUCCCUGAGCUUAACUUAGGAAUUGCAUUCGAUACUGGGAAGCUAGAGUAUGGGAGAGGAUGGUAGAAUUCCAGGUGUAGCGGUGAAAUGCGUAGAGAUCUGGAGGAAUACCGAUGGCGAAGGCAGCCAUCUGGCCUAAUACUGACGCUGAGGUACGAAAGCAUGGGGAGCAAACAGGAUUAGAUACCCCAGUAGUCCCUGUCUCUUAUAC
rnacentral:rRNA from 1 species